UACGUAGGGUCCGAGCGUUGUCCGGAUUUAUUGGGCGUAAAGAGCUCGUAGGCGGCUUUGCUAAGUCAGGUGGUGAAACCUCCCAGGCUCAACCUGGGAAGCCGCCACCUGAUACUGGUAUGGCUAGAGUCCGGGUAGGGGACCACGGAAUUCCUGGUGUAGCGGUGAAAUGCGCAGGAUAAUCAGGAGGAACACCGGUGGGCGAAGGCGGUGGUCUGGGCCGGC
rnacentral:rRNA from 1 species